rnacentral:piRNA from 1 species
UCAGAAGAAGUGGAGCUGCAUAGAAGC